CUACCCUCAAGCCCGGCUUGUGUGUUGGGUCGCCGUCCCCCCGCUCCGGGGGGACGGGCCCGAAAGGCAGCGGCGGCACCGCGUCCGAUCCUCGAGCGUAUGGGGCUCUGUCACCCGCUCUGCAGGACCGGCCGGCGCUAGCCUGGCAACCUCUUCUUACCA
rnacentral:misc_RNA from 1 species